CACAUACUCCCUCCGUCCGGAAAUACUUGUCAGAGAAAUGCAUAAAAAUGAAUGUAUUUAGAACUAAAAUACAUCUAGAUAUAUCCAUUCCUCUGACGAGUUUUUCCGGACGGAGGGAGUACAUA
rfam:Triticum aestivum genome assembly, contig: Triticum_aestivum_CS42_TGACv1_scaffold_145967_2BS